UUAAUCCAGGACAUUUCUGUCAAAGGUGUUGGUAUAAAUUUGUUUAACAGGCGUGUUCUAUUCUGAACUCGAUUCGAUUCGAAUCGAGAAAAUGAACACCUAAGUGAACUUUUCCAAAAAAUUAACACACAAAAUUCGACGAGAAGACUCGAUAAUAAGAAUAGAAUACGCCUGUUUAUUAAUAUAAAACCGAUAAGCAAUACGGCAAAUCCGUCCGUAAAAAAAACCGAUUCUACACACAGGGCAGUACGUGAAAUCGCCUCUAUUUGUUUUUUUUUAGGUCUACGAUGAACUAGGUUUAAAAAUUAUGUUAAGAUAAAAAAUUGUAAGUAGUGGCCACUUUAUAUUGCCGGCCACUGUAUAAGAAAAAUAACCUGUAAAGCAUACGUGCUGCAUCUUGUAAAACUUGGAAAAUCAACUGUAAAGGAAAUUAAAGUACAAAUAUACGUUUAACGUUUAACUAACUAAAACCGUAAAACAGAAGACUUUCCGUCACUCUGAUCUGACCUCAUGUCCACAAAAUGCCUUCGCUCACUAUUCCUAUCCCAUUUCUACAUUCCACAACGUUUGUCGCUCAUCGGGGUGUUAGUAAAUUCUCUCUUGCCACACGAAGAGAUUUCUCCUGCUCACUUCGUGUGUUUGAUUCUACCCAUCUCUGUUGAACACAAGUCAUUUUCAUCCAUCGCACUCAUCUGGGUGUUUGCUCUUUUCCAUCCAAGCUAAAGAGCGACUUCAGUGUGCUCUGAACCGUGGACGUGAGAGUGUGUGUUUGUGUGCUGCGUGAACUAUUUUUCCUGCGUAAAACACUUUCCAGCACUGCACCAUCGGCAGUAUUCUAUCUGCUUCAUCGGAGGACGAAUUGUUAUCAUCUAAUUGUUUCUGAAUGAACAACAAAUGAACUCAGUUAAACUAAAAUGAACUUUAAACAACUGUUAAAAAGAGUUCAUUUAUUCGCGAUGCCGGCUACUGUGUGCACAAGCGUUCAAAGUCGUUGAAUAAUUGAUCCUCAAGCACAAAGCCUUCAUACAACACUGCGGUCGAGGCGCGCCAAAUUUCAUGACAUCUUCCCUGAACCAAGCAGGCUGAACACUCGCACCACCAAACGGGUUACAGCGCGGUGUGAAGAAGGAGGAAGAAGAGAAGGCAGAACUGGAAACAUUCACGCCAAUUUACCAACCACCGUGUGUGUGUAUGUAAAUAUGUGAGAACACAUGUGUGAAUCCUCUUGUGUAAAAGCAAACUGCAAAAAGAAGAAAAUAUCUAGUGUGAAGCAGCUAGGCUGCCGCAACCAAA